rnacentral:rRNA from 1 species
CCUCCACGCUGAAGCUUACCCUCUCCCAGAGGCGACCGCAACCGGGCGCGGCCGCUCCAGCCCGCGCUGGACCGGUAACCACCGCCGAGCUAAGCGAGGAUCUAGCCGAACACGUCACGCCACCACGCCGCCUGCCGGCGAGCACAUCACCGGAGUCGCCCACCCGCUGCUGUGGACGUCGACCACGUGUUACCGCUGCCGUACGUCGAGGACACGGGGCGUUGUGAGAGGAAGGUGCGUGUCGUCCUCGCCCUCGUUCCUACGACUCCGUCAUCAAGUCAUCUUCCUUUUACUCCGUCUCUUCCAAAGUGGUUGGAGAAGAUGUGACUGUUCAGAAAAGAAAGGUCCUAACGGUACUACUCGACGACGACAUCACGAAAUAUUAAAAAACCGGGGAAGGAUUUACAAGCGUCGGACUAUCAAGACGUGUUAACCAUCCUCGUCGCUUACACGAGCACCUUCGAGUAAUGGAACUAAUCGCUGCCGCGGCGAGGAGGAGUACCGGUGCCCACUUCGUCGUCGCCGCGGCGAGGAGGAGUACCGGUACCCACUUCGUCGUCGCCGCGGCGAGGAGGAGUACCGGUGCCCACUUCGUCGUCGCCGCGGCGAGGAGGAGUACCGGUACCCACUUCGUCGUCGCCACGGCGAGGAGGAGUACCGGUACCAGCGUAGGAGGAGUGCGUGGAGGAAACGUGCGCGAA